rnacentral:rRNA from 1 species
GCACGGGGGCAACCCUGGUGGCGAGUGGCGAACGGGUGAGUAAUGCAUCGGAACGUGCCCAGUAGUGGGGGAUUACUAGUCGAAAGAUUAGCUAAUACCGCAUACGACCUACGGGUGAAAGCGGGGGACCUUUACCGGCCUCGCGCUAUCGGAGCGGCCGAUGUCUGAUUAGCUAGUUGGCGGGGUAAGAGCCCACCAAGGCGACGAUCAGUAGCUGGUCUGAGAGGACGACCAGCCACACUGGGACUGAGACACGGCCCAGACUCCUACGGGAGGCAGCAGUGGGGAAUUUUGGACAAUGGGCGCAAGCCUGAUCCAGCCAUGCCGCGUGCGGGAAGAAGGCCUUCGGG